rnacentral:rRNA from 1 species
AUUGAACGCUGGCGGCAUGCUUUACACAUGCAAGUCGAACGGUAACAGGCCGCAAGGUGCUGACGAGUGGCGAACGGGUGAGUAAUGCAUCGGAACGUGCCCAGUCGUGGGGAUAACGCAGCGAAAGCUGUGCUAAUACCGCAUACGAUCUAUGGAUGAAAGCGGGGGACCGUAAGGCCUCGCGCGAUUGGAGCGGCCGAUGUCAGAUUAGGUAGUUGGUGGGGUAAAGGCCUACCAAGCCGACGAUCUGUAGCUGGUCUGAGAGGACGACCAGCCAAACUGGGACUGAGACACGGCCCAGACUCCUACGGGAGGCAGCAGUGGGGAAUUUUGGACAAUGGGCGCAAGCCUGAUCCAGCAAUGCCGCGUGCAGGAAGAAGGCCUUCGGGUUGUAAACUGCUUUUGUACGGAACGAAACGGUCUGGGUUAAUACCCUGGGCUAAUGACGGUACCGUAAGAAUAAGCACCGGCUAACUACGUGCCAGCCGCCGCGGUAAUAC